CAUUUAUCAAAUUAACGACAAAACAAAUAACAAAUAGUUUGCUUAGCAAAUGGUGAUAAUGUUUGUUAAUGACAGAGAUUUAUUGAAAGAGGGCACAGGACAAAUUAACAUUUAAACUAGCAGCGCGCGUCACUUUCUGAGUACUGUAACGUUAAGUGCGCGUGCCCGUCAUUAACGGUCAACUUCCAGCGGACGGACACGGAGGAAAAGACACAACCACAUAUCAUCUAAAUCAUCUCCAAGUGGAUGUCAGCAAGGAUCCAGGAUCAAGAGAUCAUUCUUCAUGAAGACUGUUCCAUAGGAAGCAGUGAAUCCUGGGUGAAAAAGUCAUCCUGACCAUUCUGCUGUCCUGGACGUGAGGAUAUGCUGAAACUGCAUUUCUCAUGGUUAAAAGAUUUGUGCAGCAGUAUCCAGAUAUACAAACAGCCUUCCUGGACCCACACGACUAAAGGCUCAGGAGGAGAGACAGGGAAAGAUGAAAAAUAAGGAAGUCUGGG
ensembl:lncRNA